rnacentral:rRNA from 1 species
ACUCAUUUUGACGUUUAGCUGCAGAAGAAGCACCGGCUAACUCCGUGCCAGCAGCCGCGGUAAUACGGAGGGUGCGAGCGUUAAUCGGAAUUUACUGGGCGUAAAGCGCAUGCAGGUGGUUUGUUAAGUCAGAUGUGAAAGCCCGGGGCUCAACCUCGGAAUUGCAUUUGAAACUGGCAAACUAGAGUACUGUAGAGGGGGGUAGAAUUUCAGGUGUAGCGGUGAAAUGCGUAGAGAUCUGAAGGAAUACCGGUGGCGAAGGCGGCCCCCUGGACAGAUACUGACACUCAGAUGCGAAAGCGUGGGGAGCAAACAGGAUUAGAUACCCUGGUAG